rnacentral:rRNA from 1 species
CCUACGGGAGGCAGCAGUGAGGAAUAUUGGUCAAUGGGCGCGAGCCUGAACCAGCCAAGUAGCGUGAAGGAUGACUGCCCUACGGGUUGUAAACUUCUUUUGUCAGGGAGCAACGCCGGCUACGUGUAGCCGGACUGAGAGUACCUGAAGAAAAAGCAUCGGCUAACUCCGUGCCAGCAGCCGCGGUAAUACGGAGGAUGCGAGCGUUAUACGGAUUUAUUGGGUUUAAAGGGUGCGUAGGCGGAAUGCCAAGUUAGCGGUAAAAUCGGGGGGGUCAACCCCGCUCCGCCGUUGAAACUGGCGGUCUUGAGUGGGCGAGAAGUAUGCGGAAUGCGGGGUGUAGCGGUGGAA